UAAUUCUCUUAUUAUUUUUUAUUUGUUUAUUUUUAAUUAAUAAUUUUUAAUAUGAAAUAUUUAAAGGGAUGAGCUUUUAACUAUAUUAUUAAAAAUUUUUAUUUAAUUUAUUUUUGUAUAAUUUGUAUUGUUAAUCAUAUGAAUAAUUUAAUAGUUAAUUUAUUUUUAUUUAAAUUUAUAUUAAUUUUAAUUUUUAUAUUAAAAAAUUUUGUUUAAUGAUUUUUCUUAAGGUAUAAUGAUUAAAUUAGUAGAUAAAUUUGUAAAUAUUUUUUUUUAAAUUUUAGGUAAUAAAAAGGAAUUCGGCAAAUAUAUUUUUCGCCUGUUUAUUAAAAACAUGUUUUUUUGAUAAUAAUUUAAGAUUUAAUCUGCUCAAUGAUUAUUUAAAUUGCCGCAGUAUUUUAACUGUGCAAAGGUAGCAUAAUAAUUAGUUUCUUUAUUGGGAACUGGAAUGAAUGAUUGGACGAGAAAAUUUCUGUCUCUUUAUUAUUUUUAUUUAAUUUUACUUUUAAGUUAAAAGGCUUAACUUUGUUUAAAAGACGAGAAGACCCUAUAGAGUUUAAUUUAUUAAAAAUUAUUUUUUAUUGGUAUUUUUAAAUUUAUUUUUUAAUAAAUUUAGUUGGGGUGACUAAAAGAUUUAUUAAACUCUUUUAAUAUAAAUCAAUUAUGUUUGAAUAUUAAAUCUAUGUUUUUAAAUUUAAAAUUAAUUACCUUAGGGAUAACAGCGUAAUUUUUUUUUAAAGUUCAUAUUAAAAGGAAAGUUUGCGACCUCGAUGUUGGAUUAAAAUUUAUUUUUGGUGUAGAAGCUUAAAAAUUAAGUCUGUUCGA
rnacentral:rRNA from 1 species